AAGAAGCAAGAUCGUGAGGUGGAGCAAAACUCAAAAACUUGUCUCAGUUCGGAUUGUAGGCUGAAACUCGCCUACAUGAAGCUGGAGUUGCUAGUAAUCGCGAAUCAGCAUGUCGCGGUGAAUACGUUCCCGGGCCUUGUACACACCGCCCGUCACACCAUGAGAGUUGGCAAUACCCAACGUACGUGAUCUAACCCGCAAGGGAGGAAGCGUCCUAAGGUAGGGUCAGCGAUUGGGGUGAAGUCGUAACAAGGUACC
rnacentral:rRNA from 1 species